CAUUUGUCGGCGUCAUCUUGACCUCCAUUUUGUUGUAAUUCGUAAGACGCGUAGAGGUGAUUUCUUUUGCAAAUUUUUGAGUUUUUUUUCGAUUUCCAAAAGUAAAUAUUUACGGAGGACGAGUUCCUUUCAAUGAUGAGUUACGGUAGGCCUCCGCCUCGCAUCGAAGGCAUGGUUUCGUUAAAAGUUGAUAACCUUACUUAUCGGACCACGCCAGAAGAUUUACGCCGGGUUUUCGAACGCUGCGGCGAAGUCGGUGAUGUUUAUAUUCCCAGGGAUCGCUUCACCAGAGAAAGUCGUGGAUUUGCGUUCGUCAGAUUUUAUGAUAAGCGGGAUGCCGAAGACGCACUCGACGCCAUGGACGGUCGUAUGUUGGACGGAAGGGAGUUGAGAGUGCAAAUGGCCCGCUACGGACGUCCGACAUCUCCACAUCGCCGAUAUGGACGUUCUAGCCGGAGAAGGCGAAGCAGGUCAAGAUCCCACCGUCGCCGUUCACCAAGUCGCAGCCACUCCAAGUCGAGGUCAAGGUCUCGUUCCGAUAGUAAGAGCUCGAGGGGAAGGUCUCGAUCACGUUCCAAAUCUGACAAGCCGUCUGGCAGCAAGUCACGUUCCAGAUCGAAAUCCUAAGCCGUUCUUAUAAAACGUGGGUCAUUGUGGCGUAAAUAUUACAUGAAAUCUUCAUCUUAAAAGGCGGAGUGCCUGGGGUGCUGUGCAGUGCAGACCAGUAGCAGUGCAGAGCGAGAAGGGGGAGAUAACGAGAGCCCGUGGCCUUUGCUGUAGUGGUGCGGCCAAUCUCCUGUAGCUGCCUGCAGUUUCAUGUGCAGACUUGCCAGACCAACAGUCUGUUUUGUGAUUGUUGCUCAAUUACAAAACAAAUACUGCUCGCAUACAUACUAAAGGGCAACUAUUUUUCACCAACAAAAUUUUUGGCAUUCAGUUUGCCAAAUCCUUUACUGUUUUUUCCAUUGAUAUUGAUUGUAAAUUACAUAAAAAACAUUUUUUGCAUAAAAUUACAAGUAAAAGGGUGGUAAUUGCUUAACCCACUUACGAAUGGUUUCCAUUUUUUCUAGAGGAAGUCAUUACUCUUUUUACUACUUUUUUUCCAACCAAAUCAAAGUAAUAUAACUUCACUUGUAUUACAUUCAGGUUGUGGAAAAUAGUACCAUUGUAUGGAAAAGUUUAAUAAUAAUAAUAGCAGACAUGUUACAAAUAAUCUAUGAAGUCAUUUGGACUACCUACCCUUUCCGAUCUUGUAAAAAUUUUUCCCCUUAACACCUAAUUUCGGAUCUCUUCAAAGUUAGCACCUUAGACGCUAAAAUAACUAAUCCAGACCUAGUUUUUGAAAAUUUCAGAAAACAUUAUCUUCACCUAUACCUAUUCACUAUACAUUUAUAAGAAAUGUUACAAUCAAUCUCAAUGAACAAAACUUUUCACAAACUUAAAAACCUUGCAAUGUUAUAGUUAAUUUCCUUUUUGAAAACUGCAAUACUGUAGCCAUUAGGUUACUGGGCUCGAAAAAAACUUGCAGUUCGUUAGCGUUUCAAGUAACGCUCUUGAAUCACUAACAUCUUAAGAAAUAAUUUGGUACAACAGUACCUUCAAAACUGACCUUGAGGGGUAAUAAUUGAACAUAAUUAAUAAUUCGAUAACAGAUUUGUGUAAUGGUUUGUCCCUUUUUAGUUCUCACAUAAAAGAUCAUGCUGAUCAAAUUUCGAUUUAAUUGAUCCAACUAACUUCAUAAUUUUUUUUAUUUUACUAAGAUAGUUCUUACAUACUCUUUUGUAAAACUUUACAAUUUGGCAUCCUAUACAAUUAUUAUCAUAUUAGAUCAUUAAGAAAUAGCCAAUAGAAAUAAGUUUAUGGUGCGUCGCUAACCGAGCCACCAUACAUUUGUUUGUAUUGGUUAUUUCUUAAUGAUAACGAUAGUGAACUAAUGAUAAUGAUUGUAUAAACCACCAUUAAAGGAAUUUAAUCGUAAAUUUUAGGAAGUAUACUCAUGUAUUGAUAAUUUGGUUGCACGCUUAUCGUUGGGAUUUUUAAUUUUCCUAUGGAGGAUGUAGGUGAUUUUAAUGGGCGAACAAAGGAGCGAAACGUAAAUCUUUCGCAAAUUACUCGAGAAUUGAAAACUUUGGUUGAGGUAACCACAACAUUUUUCCACCACUAUUUCUUUGCAUAUUCUGUAUACAGGAUAUUACUCGUAUUUCACAAGGACCAUUAAUUUUGCUGUGAUGCAUCUCUAAAAUGUUCAGUUGAACCAAAACAUUACUAUGCAACAGCUAUGACUCGAAAUAGACAGAUCCUAACAAUGUGGGUGUCUAAAUUCAAAUUGAAAAUGUGUAUUUUUGAAAUUUUUUUUUAAAUCAAUAACCCUCAAAGGCCAAGGGAUGAUCGAUUUUACUGAUUGUCACUUAUAAAUCGCCAAUGGAUUUAAAUAGGGUGGAUUAACAACAAAUGUAUUGAUUAUAAGCCAAAAAUUAACCUUUUGAUUAAAAUAAAUAAAUAAACCAUGCAACAUGUUACAUCAUUGAAAAGAGUAAAAAAAAUCUACCAAAUAAGCAUAAUGACAGGGUACGCUGUUUUUCGUUGCAUAUUUUUUUUCUAAAAUAAGAACUGAAUACUGCCUCAUUAUGAGAAAUAAUAUUAUAAACCCGGUUUUAUAUAAUCGCCCUUUUGCGACAAUUUGUUCAAUUUACAACCAUUACAGUCCCUGAAACAUGAUGUUUCAAUUUUUCAUUGAAUGUCAUAAUACCUAAAUUACACAAAAAUAAGCGCGGUUUGGCCUACGACCGAUCUUCCUCUUAGCUUGAAUAUAGCAAGCUAAGCUUACAUUCAACAUUGAUUAACAUAUGCAGAUUUUUAAGUUCAACUGAGCGUUUUUAGAAAUUGUAGCAUUAGAAUAAGUGGUUCACUAGGGAGUUCUCAAUUUAUAAAAGAUAAUUUAGCUGUGCUAUUGUCUAAAAGAAAAAUCAAAAUCCGCAUCUUUAAUUGGAGGUAUAAAGGUGGUUUGUUGACAGUUUAGUGAUUAUUUACUUGAUUAAGGAAUGUGAGCGUUCAGUCAUAUUGUUUGAUUUGUGAAUUCGGUUCGAUUGUAUGAAAUCAACUUAUAGUUUGGUGUUGAACCAAAUGAAUGGGUGCAUGUACAACUUUACCAAAGACUCCAUAAUUCGGAUGGUACUGUAAAUAUUCAUCUUUAUGUUCUGUUCAGUUUUUUGCUCAACAUUGCCAGUGCAAAAAUCUGUUCCUCUGCAUA